rnacentral:lncRNA from 1 species
AUCAAGUUAUGUCAAAAUUAAGUUUCUUUGCUUUCUGCCAUGUGCUGGUCUAUGGUCAGCUUUAGACAGGCUAAUUUGAGGCGAAUGUCACUAUGAUUGAAUGAAAAGUUGUGGUAAUAUUCUCCUAGAAAUCAAGCAACAUUCAGAUCUGCAGUCAUCCAAGAAGGCCUUUGAAUCUGGCAUAUUCAUCAGCAAAGGUCAAAUUUACAACUUAGAGCUGGUCUACCUGAUUCAACCCUGGGUUACACUGCAAGGAGUUUCUUUCUCUGAAGAUGGAGUAAUCAACAAUAUUCUGCAAAAGUCUACAGUAUUUCUGGCAAGGUGUUGCUUAGUGGAUGAAAUGAAUUUCUGCAACUCAGCCCCUAUCCAAUGAAGCCCUCCAGGACACACUGAAGUAGUCCCAGACGUGAAGCUGGCUGUGCUCUCCUGGGGACAAGGGGACAACCUGUAAGAAGCAGACGUGGUUCUGGUAAGUGGCACUCUGAGCUUCUCCUGCAGGUACCCAGGGGAAAACUGAAAGGCUCCCUGCUGGAGGAGGAGUCACAUUUGAACCAAAAAGUUUGCCUCUGUCACAGCAGGAAUUACUUGCUGCCUUCAGCUGGGCAAGGCUGCACAUUUUGAAGCUGUUUUGAAAACUUUGGCUUAUUUUUAAUCUGGUGACUCUGUGACAUAAGGCGUUGUAGAAAGCAGUUUCUUAUAGCGUAAUAUUGAAUUUCAAGGUUUUUUCCUGAGGUUCUCAUGGAUGGAAAAUGUGUAGAUGAUAGCAGGAACUUACCUGCUUAUGAUGGCUACAGAUGUUGCAUAACAGCAAAACGCUUGCCCUUCUGCCUGUUUUCAUCUUAUGCUGGUGUAUUCCAGAGGCCAGUGAAACCCUUAAUUUUUGAUAUUGCACAUUUACCUUUUUGCGAUUAUUUUUAUUGAGUAUUUUAAUGCUUUUAAAAAUCCUAUUUAUUUUUUAAAAUGGCAGUUAUGUGAUUAAUGCUUUUUUCCUCUAAUAGUGAAUUGCAGUCAUCCUUUCACCAUUUUUGUUUCCUUCAGUAGUUAGAAAUGAACUUAUCUUGGCAGGAAACACUUUGCCAGGCUGGCAAAGAGACUGCUUAGCCCUAGUGUGCCUGCUGAGUUCAGCUACCACCCCCUCAAAAUUUUCUCUCUCCUAGUAUUACCACAGUAAAUAAAGUAUUAGGUGAAAAAACA